CUUAUCAGUUAUCUCUCGGUUUCCUACUUGCCUUCUUCAUUUUUGAUUUUUUUCCUUUGAUUGAUUCAUUGUUUCCUUCUCAAGCCAAAGAUUAUUGAGCAAAUCAUACAUAAAUAAAUAUAUUAUUUAUUUAUACUAUAUAAGAUUCAAAUUACAAACCAAUGAAACCAUAGAAGAAGAAAAAUCUGCGGCUCAAAUUAAUCAGUCAAUCUUUAGAAAAAAUCAAAAUUUCUCGUUUCUCCAAAGUCGAUCGGCCUUCAACAUUUGAAGAUUGUUGAAGAUAAUCCGGUAAUUUUGUAUUUUUUGCAUAAUACCUCAUUAUUGGUUGAUUGCAAUUUGUACCCCUUUUUGUUUAUAAUUUUUUCGAUCUUUCACUGCCUAGGCUGGGAGUUAAAUUAUCGGUUAUUGGAUCUUCAGUUGCUAGAUUAAAGGUGCGAGUUUUUCAUUUUUGUUUUCAUUUUGAUUGCGUAGUUGUUGAUUUGCUUGGGUCUCUUCAAUUAUUUUGGGUUUACAUUAAUUGUAAAAUGUUUUCUGAUUAUGAAAAUUAGUUUGGUCCAAAUGCUAGAAGCCAUAUUGAUUACCAUUAUGUUUCAUCAGCAAGUGGUGAUACUGAUACAGAUUGUGGAACAAAAGCACAAGGAGUUGUGGCACGUCUUCUGGGAAUGGAUUCAUUGCCAACUUCAAACGUUUUUUUUUUUUUUACCCCUAUUCUACUCCGUUUAUAGGGUCUCACUCUUUCAGAGAUUCUCGUUACUUGGGAACCCCCGUGUUUUAGAAUGAACAUGAUAUUGUAAUCUUUGAAAGAGUGAACAUGAACCCGUGUCUUCUAGCAUUCGGACCAGUUGUAGCUCGUGAUGUGGCAACAGAAAUUCAUGAUGGCUGUUAUCUAAAAAUUUAUCAUGUAUUUCCUGCUGCCUGUGUGAUUUUGAAUUUUUU
rnacentral:lncRNA from 1 species